GAGUUGGGGGAGAGGACCAGAACCACCUGCUGGAGAAGGGGAGCUACGGGGGCCGGGCAGGGUCCAAACGCCUCACGUAGGCGGCGGCGCCACGGUCUUCGGGGUCACAGGGAAGAGAAGGGCUCUCCUCAAGCGGGUGGAAGGAGGGAGGCCUCCCGAGGGAGUGAGACUCUAGGCCACUCCCCCGCAGCAAGGCAGGAUCACCUGCGACGCGGAGAGCGGUUAGAGGGCCCUGGAGUGGAAAAGGGCAGUGGGACCUGGUAGCUUGGGUUCCCUGCAACUUGGGGUUCGACCUCCAGGCAAUGAAGUAGGGAUGGUCCUGCAAGUCAAGAUUCCAGUAGCAAGAGUGCAUCAGAUCUCUGUAAGGAAAAUAACUAACAUUGCUCAGUUCCCUGUAGAGUUGCAGGGCGCUUUAACGUUAUCUCCCUUGGUUCUCCAUCAGGUCGUAGUGGACUAAUUUUACAGGCGAAGUUAAGUGACUUACCCAAAACCUCACAGCUAAUAAACGGCAGAGCCGGCACCCAGCUGUACUGGCUUCCAAUUCUGUUAGCUUACCAGCGCAUCACAUUAUCUCCAUAAAUCCCCAUGAUUCAACUAAUAUUAGACGCCCCACAGAGUCUCGCUACUCAAAACGUGGUCAGUGGCCCAGCAGCACUGACAUGAGGAUGUUAGUUAGAAACUCAGAAUCUCAGGCUCCACCCCAGACCUGCUGAACCAGCAUCUUCAACUUAACAAGAACCCGAAGAGAUUUGUGUCACAUCAAAAAGUUUGAGAAGCUCUGAUCUAGGGCUGGAAGGAGUGUUGCUCAACAAUAUCCAAAACCACAGAGGUUGAAAAGCACAAGGAAAGAAGGUAUGUUUGCACUUUGUGAUUAGGUAGUAGGGUCUUUGAGACCACAUUGUUCUUAUUGAAAGCCUGGGAAGAAAGAUCCCCUUUCUGGUCAAGUUUAGUCUAGGGAUCCAUCCCAUCUUCCCCAGUUCCCACGUGUAUGGGACAUGUCGAGAUAAGUAGAUAGAUUGGACAGUGGGAGAAAGUAGUUCUCUUCCAGUUGCUUCUAUUUUCUCAGCAAAGUGAGGAGCAAGAUCAUUUUGGCAGACUGCUAAUUGUCCAUCACAAUUUAGUCUCCCUUUCUCCCUGAAAACACAGACUGCUUUUCUCAGCCUCUCUUUCAGUUGCAUAUGGUCAAGUAUUAAGUUAUAGAACGUGAGCAGAUGUUAUGUCUGCCACUGUCAGGCCAAGGCGUUUACUUUGAGAGUACUUGUGCCUCUUUCAUGCAUUUUCCUUUCUGCCAGCUGGACCCUGGACACGGUGACUCUGAUUCAAUUAUGCAGAUGACCACAAACCUCUGGGGUUGGCAGAGCCACAAGAAAGAAGGUGCCUGGAUGAAGGAGAGCUACCCACUGACCUGGACACCCAAUUAUGUCAUAGGUGCUGUGAUCUAGAGACAAAAUGUUCCUUACACUGGCAGAUACUUGCAAACUAAGGGGAAUGAGCUUCCUUCUGAAUGUUUAUGAAGGAGAGGCCACUGUGUCAUCUGUCUUAGAGCUAUUGGAAUCCUGGAUCAUUGUGGGAAAUGAAAGGAACUGGUUUUUAGCAAGGAGACCAAGAAACUCUACUCCCUAGGGGCUAGCAAUGAGAGAAAGGAAGCCUUAAGUCUUUGAGCACAGGGUGACAGUUUGGGUCCUAUGUGAGAUGAUCAAAUCCACAGCAACAGAGGAAAGGACAAAAGGAAAAGGUCUGUAGCAGCACUACAUCAGAAAAAAAUGGAUUCAGCAAGGAAGUGGGUGACUCUGAGUAAGCAUCCAUGUCAGGAUGGUUUUGCUACAGCCCCCAACAAAACAUUAAUUAGUUUAAGAAACUCAACUUCGGUUUACAAGUGUUUUGGAAAAGUAACAAAGAACAACAUAAGUAACAAAAUAAUUCCUCAGGUCAUUACAAUGGAUGUUUCCUAUAACUGAAAAAUAUGGUUAAAAAGUACAAACUACAUUUGGUGUGCAAACUGUUUAGUUCUUAAUUCCAAACUAAAUUGUACAUUAUAUAGUAAAAUUUUGACCAGAAAAACUUGGAGAUUUUAGUAAAAAUUUCAUUGACAUAUUUACAGCCCCAGUGUAGUUUGGCCGGUGUGCAAAGCCUGACUAAGGAGGUUAUAGAAAAAAAUAUCAGACUUAAGCCCAUCAAAUCAUUAAAGAUGCUUUGGCAAGACUUCAAGCUUUACAGACAUACUCCAUGUGACCAGAGAUGUCAUAACCAGUGUUCUUUCUCUUGAAAUGUUAGAAUGCUUUAGUUUUAUUCUAUAAUUUCCGUGUUCCAUGGAACAGCAUUCAUUUCUCCCAGUUUUAGUAACAUAAUGAGAGAUAUAUUGAGUGUAUAGAGCAGGAAAGACAUGAAAACUUAUAUUGCAUAAUAUUAGCAAACAUAAAAGAUAGCAUUAUAAAUUUUUAAAAAUCCAAAAAAAUUCCAGAAACAGAACAGUGAGCAUGUUUAAAAAGUCAGGACUGACCGUUUCUGUGAGUUCUGAGGACUGUAAAUGAGCCUCAAUCCAUAAAGCUGAGAGGUUGUCUUAGCCCACAUAUGCAGCAGGUGACUCCCUCUGACAAAAGCAAGAUUUAGCUGGAUCUUUUAAAAAAAAAA
rnacentral:lncRNA from 1 species